AGAUAAUUGGUAUUUGCGCCUGUCCGAUCGGGCAAUGGCGCGAAGCUAUCAUCUGCUAGAUUAUGGCUGAACGCCUCUAAGUCAGAAUCUGUGCCAGAAACGAUGAUGUUGGUCCCGCACAUGUUAGUUGUGUUUAAAUAGAGCUUCGGCUUGUGAACCAUAAAUGUUGGCUUAGUAGCUUGGACGGAAAGGUCCUUGUUGCUCGCUGAUGAACUGAAAUUUAGAUAUGGGCGGGGGUGAAUCCUUUGCAGACGACUUAUUGGGAACGGAGUGCUGUAAGCAGUAGAGUAGCCUUGUUGCUACGAU
rnacentral:rRNA from 13 species